ACAUCCAGUUAAAAUUCAGUCUGGUGUUUUUUUCUCCUCAGCCAUCAUCUCAUCAGUUCAGGUGAAUCCUUGUGAAGAUCUACAGCUGAAUUUGCACAUAUCAGACCAAGUGGAGGUGAUCUUUAAACACAGAGAUUCAACAGAUCCACAUGGUGUACAGAUCUGCAGUGUGUAUAAAAGCUCACUAAACUGUACAGCUGAAUACACACAGAGAACAUCACUCACUAACACACUUCUUACACUGAGAGGAGUAAAGUGGACUGAUGAUGGAGAUUACAUCGUCAGAGACACAGAGUAUAACGAGAAACUUCAUAUUUACUCAGUAACAGUAAGAGAUCAGAACAAAGAUCAGGAGUGUGAUCCACCAGUGUGGGCGAUCAUCCUGAUAGCGGUGCUUCUGGUUGCUGCACUGAUUGUGAUAAUCCUGAUCCUGAGGAUUAUAUAUCACUGUAACCGAAGAGGUGAUUAUAUUGUACAGAGGCCCAAGAAUGGAACAGGAGAACUUCAGAGCUUUAAUGGCACAAUAAAAAUGAACCUAAUGGAGAACUGAUGUUAAGACAGAGUGAGAACGAAAGUGACGAGUAGUAACAGAGGGAAGAGACUUGUAACUACUGUACAUACAGCAUGAUGCUGGAACAAUGAGAGAUCAAAACUCAAAUGGGAGCACAGGAAUAAAUGACAUGUAUCUGGAUCUACAGCUUUCUCCGUCCCUUUGUGCUUCACAACAACUGAAGAACAUGACCUGACUACAGAAUCUGCUCAGAUCCUCACACAAGUUGUCAGGUCUAGACCAGACUACUGCAGAUCUCUUUUGGAAUCAGACCCUGGUUUAGAUGUCCACACCUACACACCACAUCAUCAAGCCUUCAAACUCAUGGCUUAUAUACUCUGUCCUUCUCUGGGAUCUGAUUCAGUCCUGGUUCCUCAGAAGUGGGAUGUGUGUCCACUGUGGGAAAAUAAUCUUAAGUCAUUGUUUUAUUUCAUUUUAGUUCUAAUAUUUUUGUGGAUCAUGCUGAAGCCAAAUCGAGUUACAAUGCAUGUUAAAUUCAAACUUUACAUUAGUCCUGUGGUUCCUGUAUCUCAUUAAUAUGAAAGGAAAGGGCAAGGUAACUCAGGGUAUCAUCUGUCCCUUUGUGACAUCUGUCCCAUUGUUUAAGGUCAAGAAGGAAUGCCAAGCGUUUGAGGUGAAUUCAUUCCUAUGAUAAUGAAGGGGUCUGAGAAAGACUGUUGUGUUAGAUGGUUACAGCACUGGACCUCUCUCUCCAUCCCCUCUGUUCUAUACACCACCCCAUUUUUUGCACUGACACUAAUUCUGGACAGUCACUGUCACUUUGGACUUGCACAGCAAAGUGCCACUUUACUGUAUACACCAUAUACACUAUUUACACACCAUACUUCACCUGGACACUUUUAGGACAAUCUAUAAAAACCAUACAUAUUUAUAUUUAUUUCUGUAUAUGUAUAUACAUUAUCUCCAUAUCUCCAUUUCU